rnacentral:tRNA from 1 species
GGAGGGGUGGGUGAGUGGCUGAAACCAACGGUUUGCUAAACCGUCCAGGGGUGUCAAACCUCUGCGCGGGUUCGAAUCCCGCCCCCUCCG